UACGGAGGGUGCAACGUUAUCCGGAUUCACUGGGUUUAAAGGGUGCGUAGGUGGGUUGAUAAGUCAGUGGUGAAAUCCCCGAGCUUAACUUGGGAACUGCCAUUGAUACUAUUGAUCUUGAAUACCGUGGAGGUCAGCGGAAUAUGUCAUGUAGCGGUGAAAUGCUUAGAUAUGACAUAGAACACCAAUUGCGAAGGCAGCUCGUUACACGAAGAUUGACUCUGAGGCACGAAAAGCGUGGGGAUCAAAACAGG
rnacentral:rRNA from 1 species